rnacentral:rRNA from 1 species
AUACGUAGGGGGCGAGCGUUGUCCGGAAUGAUUGGGCGUAAAGGGCGCGUAGGCGGCGCGGUAAGUCUGGAGUGAAAGUCCUGCUUUCAAGGAGGGAAUUGCUUUGGAUACUGCCGCGCUUGAGUGCAGGAGAGGUUAUCGGAAUUCCCGGUGUAGCGGUGACAUGCGUAGAGAUCGGGAGGAACACCAGUGGCGAAGGCGGGUAACUGGACUGCAACUGACGCUGAGGCGCGAAAGUGUGGGGAGCAAACAGGAUUAGAUACCCUGGUAGUCCACACUGUAAACGAUGAAUGCUAGGUGUAAGAGGUAUCGACCCCUUUUGUGCCGGAGUCAACACAAUAAGCAUUCCGCCUGGGGAGUACGGCCGCAAGGUUGAAACUUAAAGGAAUUGACGGGG